rnacentral:rRNA from 1 species
UGGGGGAUAUUGCACAAUGGAGGGAACUCUGAUGCAGCGACGCCGCGUGAGCGAAGAAGGAAUUCGUUUCGUAAAGCUCUGUCCUAUGGGAAGAUAAUGACGGUACCAUAGAAGAAAGCCCCGGCUAACUACGUGCCAGCAGCCGCGGUAAUACGUAGGGGGCUAGCGUUGUCCGGAAUUAUUGGGCGUAAAGGGUUCGUAGGCGGUGAUACAUGUCAGAUGUGAAAUCUUGUGGCUUAACCACAUUAAGCAUCUGAAACUGUAUGACUUGAGUGAAGGAGAGGUAAGUGGAAUUCCUAGUGUAGCGGUGAAAUGCGUAGAUAUUAGGAAGAAUACCAGUAGCGAAGGCGACUUACUGGCCUUUAACUGACGCUGAUGAACGAAAGCGUGGGUAGCAAACAGG